rnacentral:rRNA from 1 species
AGGUGAACCUGCGGAAGGAUCAUUUAUCGAGAGAGGCGUUCCCCCGCCUCGGGGGAAAAGGGGGGGGGCUUCGG